AUCGAACGCUGGCGGCAUGCCUUACACAUGCAAGUCGAACGGUAACGGGCCUUCGGGUGCCGACGAGUGGCGAACGGGUGAGUAAUAUAUCGGAACGUACCUUUCAGUGGGGGAUAACGUAGCGAAAGUUACGCUAAUACCGCAUAUUCUGUGCGCAGGAAAGCAGGGGACCUUCGGGCCUUGCGCUGAUUGAGCGGCCGAUAUUAGAUUAGCUAGUUGGUGAGGUAAAGGCUCACCAAGGCGACGAUCUGUAGCGGGUCGGAGAGGAUGAUCCGCCACACUGGAACUGAGACGCGGUCCAGACUCCUACGGGAGGCAGCAGUGGGGAAUUUUGGACAAUGGGGGCAACCCUGAUCCAGCCAUGCCGCGUGAGUGAAGAAGGCCUUCGGGUUGUAAAGCUCUUUCGGCCGGGAAGAAAUCGCACGGGCUAAUACCCUGUGUGGAUGACGGUACCGGAAUAAGAAGCACCGGCUAACUACGUGCCAGCCGCCGCCGUAAUAC
rnacentral:rRNA from 1 species